AUUGAACGCUGGCGGCAUGCUUUACACAUGCAAGUCGAACGGCAGCGCGGGCUUCGGCCUGGCGGCGAGUGGCGAACGGGUGAGUAAUACAUCGGAACGUGCCCAGUAGUGGGGGAUAGCUCGGCGAAAGCCGGAUUAAUACCGCAUACGACCUGAGGGUGAAAGCGGGGGAUCUUCGGACCUCGCGCUAUUGGAGCGGCCGAUGGCAGAUUAGCUGGUUGGUGGGGUAAAGGCCUACCAAGGCGACGAUCUGUAGCUGGUCUGAGAGGACGACCAGCCACACUGGGACUGAGACACGGCCCAGACUCCUACGGGAGGCAGCAGUGGGGAAUUUUGGACAAUGGGCGCAAGCCUGACCAGCAAUGCCGCGUGUGUGAUGAAGGCCUUCGGGUUGUAAAGCACUUUUGGCGGGAACGAAAAGGACUGUGCCAAUACCACGGUUUCGAUGACGUACCCGCAGAAUAGG
rnacentral:rRNA from 1 species